AGAGUUGAUCCUGGCUCGGGAGUGAACGCUGGCGGCGUGCCUAACACAUGCAAGUCGAACGGAAACUAAGCGCUUCGGAGACUUCGGUCAAUGUUUGUUUGGUUUAGUGGCGGACGGGUGAGUAACGCGUGGAUAACCUGCCAUAUACAGGGGGAUAACAGUUAGAAAUGACUGCUAAUACCGCAUAAGCGCACAGUCUCGCAUGGGACAGUGUGAAAAACUCCGGUGGUAUAUGAUGGAUCCGCGUCUGAUUAGCCAGUUGGCGGGGUAACGGCCCACCAAAGCGACGAUCAGUAGCCGGCCUGAGAGGGUGAACGGCCACAUUGGGACUGAGACACGGCCCAAACUCCUACGGGAGGCAGCAGUGGGGGAUAUUGCACAAUGGGGGAAACCCUGAUGCAGCCGACGCCGCGUGAGUGAAGAAGUAUUUCGGUAUGUAAAGCUCUAUCAGCAGGGAAGACAAUGACGGUACCUGACUAAGAAGCACCGGCUAAAUACGUGCCAGCAGCCGC
rnacentral:rRNA from 1 species